CGACAAUAUUAGUGGAUAUUUUAGUGUUACCGUAAAGAUUUAUGUUAUGGUUGGAAUUAUGGGGAAAAGAGCCUUAUUUAAUAAAUGACCAAUUUACCCAUAAAGAUUAAUGUUGGGUUUUAGUGUGAGGAAGGGCAAUUUGGUAAUUGCCAUGUGUUUCAUUUAUUAAUGUUUUGAAUUAUUUCAUUAGUUAUUAUCCUAUUAUUUUAUUUGAUUUUAAUUAAUGAUAAGUUAGUUAUGAGUUUUGUAGAAAAAUCAAGAAUAGACUAAGUUAUCCUCCUCUCCUCUUUUAUUUUCCUUCAUUUGGCCCAAAAAAACCAGAGGAAGAACCAAGUUUUCCUCCUCUUUUUCUCUUCAGUUUCUCAACAAUUAAGCAACCCUAGGAGCUACAAAAAGGUUGGGUUAAGGAAAGGAUGAGUCAGAGGUUUUCCUCGACAAAUGUACAUAUCUACUUAUCCGGUCGGCGGUGUCAUGUAAUCAGGGUUUUGGUUGGUGGCAUCUCUAAAAAUAUAAGUGUUAGUUGUAAACUUUUAACGAAAUUCUUGUAAAUAUUUUUAAGGGGAUCCUCAACCUUAAUAUUUUGUAUAACGCUAAAAUAAAUUUUAUGUUUUAAUUAUUUAUUAAAUUUUAAUUAAAUCACAAUUUUUGUAAAAUCAUUAGUUUAUUAUUAUAAACUAAUUUGUAAAAGCACACAUGUGGCAUCCUUAAGAAUCAAGGUGUUACACAAGUAUGUUAAGAGAAAGUAUCAUCUACUAAGAAAUAUAGUACAGAAAUGUGAUGUGACAGUCUUGAAGAUUCCGUUGGAACAUAACCUCGCAAAUGCUUUCACGAAGACAAUACUAGCAAAAUAUUUAUGGGUCAUAUAACUUAUAUGGGAUUAAGGGAGAUGCCCAAUUUACUUUUAGGACAAGUGGGAGAUUGUUAGGAUUUAUGCCUUCAAAACCAUAUAAAAACAUUUUUGAUUAUAAAUAAGAGUUGAAUAUUUUCAUA